AAUCGUUGGCCGGACGUCUAGGCUUGAAUUUUGAAGAACCAUCAAGCCCGCCCUAGCUAGCCCGCCAUGACAGGUCCACCAUUUCCUUUUCGUUCUCUUUCAUUCGCUGCAUAACAUGAUAUAUAUUCCAAUAUGCAGGAUGCUCAAUUCCCUGGCCUUCUUGUCAUGAUAAAUAAUAUUAAUAAUGGAGCUGGGAUCACAGUACUGCCUAUCGCGUACCGGUUCCAUCCCACCGACGAAAAGCUUGUCUUUCACUACUUGAAGCGCAAGGUCUUCGCUAUCCCAUUACCAGUUUAAGUCAUUCCCGAGUUCGAUGUAUUCCAGACUGAUCCUUGGGGCUUGCCAGGUGACUUAAAAGGAAAAGAGGUACUUCUUUAGCACUAGAUCAAAGAGGAUAAGUACCGCCCUCGACAAUAACUACUGCAAGAGAGCUGCUGGUACUACUUCCGGUUACUGGAAGCCUGUUGGCAAAUCUAAGCAAAUAUUAGCAUCUGAGAGCAACGUCCGAGCGAUUGGGAUAAGUAGAACUCUGAUUUUCUGCGAAAGGAAGCGUUCUUAUGGAGCUCAAACGAGAUGGGUCAUGCACGAAUAUCGUCUUGUGAACACUGAAACAAGCCCCUGCUCCACCCAGGUGUCUAUGAUGGCAAUGGAAGAUUGGGUUGUCUAUCUUGUAUUCCAAAGAAAGAAAAGACCUGAAAAACAAGGGGUCAUGAUUUCUCAGCCCUCUAACAGCAAGAAAAUUCGGAGACUGGAAGUUAGGCCAACUACAAUGAAUUACAUGGGGGAAGUCAGCUCUGAUUUAGGUCCUGAUCCUCAACCUUCUUCAUCAUGUAAGAGUGAAAUCACUGAGGUCUCCUCUAUUAUUGGCUUAGAUCAAGAAGAAACAACUACCCACAUUAGGUUUUCCCCAUGUUCAUGUGUAAGAGAGCUGUAAAUUAACCUUGUUAAAGACUUGUAUCGGCCGGUACUAAAAAGUACUGACGUUGUUCAACAAAAGAGAUCAAUGGCCAAAAAUAAAAGAAUUAGGACUCAA